GAAAUGCGAUAAUUAAUGUGAAUUGCAGAAUUCAGUGAAUCAUCGAGUCUUUGAACGCACAUUGCGCCCCCUGGUAUUCCGUGGGGCAUGCCUGUCCGAGCGUCAUUGCUGCCCUCAAGCACGGCUUGCGUGUUGGGCUUCCGUCCCUGGCAACGGGGACGGGCCCAAAAGGCAGUGGCGGCACCAUGUCUGGUCCUCGAGCGUAUGGGGCUUUGUCACCCGCUCCCGUAGGUCCAGCUGGCAGCUAGCCUCGCAACCAAUCUUUUUAACCAGGUUGACCUCGGAUCAGGUAGGGAUACCCGCUGAACUUAAGC
rnacentral:misc_RNA from 1 species